rnacentral:rRNA from 1 species
UGGAUCCAGACUUUGAUUAUGGCUCAGGAUGAACGCCGGCGGUGUGCCUAAUACAUGCAAGUCGAACGCGUUGGCCCAAUUGAUUGACGGUGCUUGCACCUGGUUGAUUUUGGUCGCCAACGAGUGGCGGACGGGUGAGUAACACGUAGGUAACCUGCCCAGAAGUGGGGGACAACAUUUGGAAACAGAUGCUAAUACCGCAUAACAACGUUGUUCGCAUGAACAACGCUUAAAAGAUGGCUUCUCGCUAUCACCUCUGGAUGGACCUGCGGUGCAUUAGCUUGUUGGUGGGGUAAUGGCCUACCAAGGCGAUGAUGCAUAGCCGAGUUGAGAGACUGAUCGGCCACAAUGGGACUGAGACACGGCCCAUACUCCUACGGGAGGCAGCAGUAGGGAAUCUUCCACAAUGGGCGCAAGCCUGAUGGAGCAACACCGCGUGAGUGAAGAAGGGUUUCGGCUCGUAAAGCUCUGUUGUUAAAGAAGAACACGUAUGAGAGUAACUGUUCAUACGUUGACGGUAUUUAACCAGAAAGUCACGGCUAACUACGUGCCAGCAGCCGCGGUAAUACGUAGGUGGCAAGCGUUAUCCGGAUUUAUUGGGCGUAAAGAGAGUGCAGGCGGUUUUCUAAGUCUGAUGUGAAAUCCUUCGGCUUAACCGGAGAAGUGCAUCGGAAACUGGAUAACUUGAGUGCAGAAGAGGGUAGUGGAACUCCAUGUGUAGCGGUGGAAUGCGUAGAUAUAUGGAAGAACACCAGUGGCGAAGGCGGCUACCUGGUCUGCAACUGACGCUGAGACUCGAAAGCAUGGGUAGCGAACAGGAUUAGAUACCCUGGUAGUCCAUGCCGUAAACGAUGAGUGCUAGGUGUUGGAGGGUUUCCGCCCUUCAGUGCCGGAGCUAACGCAUUAAGCACUCCGCCUGGGGAGUACGACCGCAAGGUUGCAACUCAAAUGAAUUGACGGA